UAUUAUAAAACGUAUUAAACCUACUGAAACACAUACAAAUGACUCUUUGUGUUUGAAUUGAAUUUCUUCUUAUAAAACUGUUUUUUCUUAUAAUAAACCUAGCCAAACAAACAGUACAGAAAGAAUGUUCUUGUCAUCAAACACCAGGACAAUACUUCUCCACACCUGCUACUGUCUGAAGAAGUCAGAGUGGGCUGUGACCUUUGACCUGUGAGAAGAUGACACACCAUUACCGUUCCUAUCGACAAUGAUCCAGACCACCCUAAUGAGAAAAAUGGGUCACGGGCUGAAGGAGGUGAAUUCAGUGUCAAACUAGGACACCUGCUGUCCAUGUGGAAGUGAAGAAGACCAUCGUUUCUUCUUUCUUUACUCCCAGUGUUCUCUGCUGAACGUAGACAAGGCAUCUCUGUGGUUUAAUCAAUACGUGCUGCAGGAAAGAAGGAACUGUUCUCCACUAGAGACCUGUAAAAGUUUGUCACGAUGAGCCUCCUCGUGUGGUGUAUGUUGAUUCUGUUCCUGUGUUCAAGCAGUAAAGAGAUGGUGGUUCAAACAAGACCAGUGAGCACUGCUUUCCUUCGAUGGCAUUUGUAUCAGAUGGAAAAAGGACAAAACAUUGUACAAAACAUCAAACGACAUUCAGACGGAACCUUUUCCAGCGACUUCAGCCACUAUCUCGAUAAAAUUAAGGCCAAAAAUUUUGUGGAUUGGUUGGCCAGCGUGAAACAAGGAUGUGACGAAGCAGCGCUACGCAUUUCAGACGUAUGACCAUCUGUAUGUAGCGUGUUUAUGUGUUUAUAAGUGUUCUUUGUAUAAAGAAAAACUAUCUGUCAGUUAAAAAAAUGCUGAGGCAUUCUCAAAUGGGCAAAAAAAGAGAAAACCUGUUGUUGUUGUUUUUUUUAAAUAAAACACAUUUUAUUCCGUGCUUAACGUUCAUUUCCAUGCUCUGCUUUGCGUAAAAUGUCUC